CGGAAGGAUCAUUGUUGAAUCCUCAACAAAAACCCGCGAACACAUUCGAAAAUCCACGUCGGGCGUCCAGGUAGGGUUGGCGCCCUUCUCCCCUCUCUCGGCAGAACGGGGCCUCUUGACGGGCCGACGGUCUCAUUGGGCAAUCGAAAUAAAAAUCGGCGCGGGAAGCACCGAGGACUUAAGAAAUGGGAUGCCUUCCCGCGGAGAGGGCCGCUUGCGGAAUCCUAGCCUCUGGGCUCCAAAGGCGCCUGAAAUGAAAUGUCACAUGACUCUCAGCAACGGAUAUCUUGGCUCUCGCAUUGAUGAAGAACGUAGCACACUGCGAUACUUGGUGUGAAUUGCAGAAUCCUGUGAACCAUCGAGUCUUUGAAUGCAAGUUACGCCUAAAGCCAUUAGGCCGAGGGCACGUUUGCCUGGGCAUUAAGCAUUGCGUUGCCCCUCUCGCCCCCGUCCCCGAAAGGGGUCAAGUGCAGAGCGGAGGGGCGGAAGUUGGCUUCCCGUGCUCUAUCGUGGCCAGCCUAAAACAAGGUUCCCCUGCAGCAAACGUCGGGACGAGUGGUGGCCAUCGAGAUUAAAUGCGAGUCACUGGCAAGCCACGUCAGGGAGAGCGUUUGGACCUUGUGGGCGAGAGUCCUUCCUUAAGGGAGGGGAGAAUCUUGCCACGACUGCGACCCUAGGUCAGGU
rnacentral:misc_RNA from 1 species